CAGGUGACAGAAUAAAUAAAAUUAAUGUUAAGAUAUCAAAGAUAUAAAACAUACUAUGUUUUAGGUAUAAGACUUAUAAACUUACUUUUUCAAAUAUAUUAGUGUUGUCCACCUGGAAAUAAAGCUAUAAUAUCUAAGACAGUCUUGGAGUUAUUAAAUUUUUCCUGGACUGAGACUUAAAUUCAGUUGUGAGUCCUGUGUGUGAAUGAAUAGCAUGCAAUAAUUGACUCAAGAGCAGACCAACACCUACCUGAAUGCCCUACAAAUUUGGUAUUUGAGUGGAAAACUAGGGUUUGCUUUCCAUGGAAAAAAACCUCAUGGCAGCAACAAAUCCCAAACUGAGAAACAGUGAGCCUGAUCUCACCAAAAUACCAAGAUCUCACCAAAUGGAAUAUGAGCGGAAGUGAUGAAGCAGUGGGCCACAUUUUCUCCAUGGAUGCAAAGGAUCCUUGGUGAUAUCAGAGAUAUGAAAUGGAAGGUAGCUGGAUUUAUGGACCACUGCUUGGGGGAGAUCCAACUACAAUCAGGAAGACUUAUUUAGACCAAACCCAAGCAAGAAAUAAACUUCUAUUCUGAUGAACACUGAGACGUAGGCUCCUGUGUGUUAUAGGAGAUACUAACGACUUAAUGAAUAUAAAUAAAACAGUUACAAAGAGGUGGGGGAAAUUAGUAUCCUGGUUAGUAUUAGAAACUAAGAAAAUCUGAACAUAUUAGUUGUUUCAAACAAAGUAUUUAAUAAAAGUCAAUUAAAGAAUCAAAAUAAAGCAGUAAGAAGUUGAAAGUAUGUGAAGCUGAGAAUAGAAAUCAGAAAAAAUUUUUUAAAGAUGUUAUAUCAAAAUUGAUUGACAUGUAUUGUAAUGUAUUGAUUGAAAAGUGAUAAAAUUGACAAAUUUCUUGCAUGUGUGAGAAAAAGAAAACAGAAGAGGCUUAAAACAUUUUAGGAUAAAAAGGGAGAGCUAAAUGCAGAGGUAGUAGAUAUUGAAAAAAUAUUAACAUCAUAAUAGUAUUUAGUAACUAAAAAUGCUUAAAUGUUUUUAAAAGAAAAAAUAUCGGCCAGGCGCACUGGCUCACGCCUGUAAUCCCAGCACUUUGGGAGGCCGAGGCGGGCGGAUCACGAGGUGAAGAGAUCGAGACCAUCCUGGCC
rnacentral:lncRNA from 1 species